CAUUGAAACACUGAUUCUCAUCUGAUCACCAAAGUUAAGCAACAUUGAGCCUGGUCAGUAUCUAAAUGGUUGACUACUUAGGAAUAGCAGGUGCUGUA